AUGGACUACAGCAGCCUGGACCCUUGGCCUGGCUCUCCUCGCCCCACACGGCAGCCCUCAGACAAGCCAGAAAACCACUGGUGCUCUGCAGAGGGCCUGGCUUUUUCUCUCCAGCUGUCUCUGGAAAGACCGCAGGGCUGGACCUGGGCUUUCAGGCAUCCUUUUCCAGGGCUGUGGUGUACCACGUUAAUCCUUGUUUAUAUCCAGAGCUCAGGUGAUGCUAACUCCCCUCUUCCUCAACCCUGCUGUUUCUACCCAAUUAUGAAAUCCUUCAAAGCUAGGCUCCAUGGAAUACCACCCUUGCAGAUUCCCGGGGCAGCUUAUCCCAUCCCCAUGGGGAGAGAAUACCUACCUGUGCAAAUCCGUUUUUGACAAAAGCAUACAGUAUUUAUACUGAUUUAGGUCAAUGAGGAAAUGCCUCCUUUUCCCAACUCACUCUUCAAACAUACUUCAACACUAAAAUAGACGCUUUUAUGGGGAUACUGUAAUUUUAUAAUCAAUUUAACACUGAUCUGGCUAAUAUUGCCUUUUGCUACAUCAUAUGGCACUAAAAGUCCUGAAUGUAAACAAAAGGAAGUUCCUUUUUCUUCAUGAUGAGACAUCUUUGGGAAUAACUCACACCUCCUAUCAACUUCAGAGAAAACCACCCUGGCUGAGAACUGAAAUUCAGGGCCUCCUGCCAUGCCUCCCAGAAGACACGGCCUGACUUCCCACAGGGAGAGACAUGCUAUGCUGGGGGCACCUGCUUCCCUCUUCCCUCCCCUCCCAACCCAAAGGACAAGCAAAUCAACCUAGCCUUCCUCUUUGGCCUGGGCAACAGAAACACAGGGUAGUCUCAGUACUGUCAUCAAGAAGCUACUGGUGGUGGCCAAAGCAAAUACACUCUUCUCUCACAGAACAGUCCCAAUGGGAUGACUGUGGCCACGGGAUCCUAUGCAUUUCUUUGGGCUAUGCUCCAGGGCAUGCUGACCAGGUACGUACAAGCCCACGCUGAACUACCCAGUACCAUGAGGAGAUAGAUCAGGAGGGGGCAGGCCCACUGAACUCCCAACACAAGCUGUGAGGACCCAGCCCCUCUAGAAUGCACACCUGGCCGGCCCCAGGAUACUGGGGACAGC
rnacentral:lncRNA from 1 species